AAAGGUCAAGGAAAGUAAAUCUCCCCCUUUACAAAUUAUUCUGAACUCUGGUUAUUUGGACUGCCAGAGAAGGACGGUGAUAGAAGGUCCCACAUGCCAGUCUGCAGCCUUUUUGGGAGCUUCCCAGGUAUUAUCUAAAAUGGGCCCCUUACGUGGAGCACAGGAAGAGAUGAAGAAAUCAGGCAGACCGUUCUAGGAUGGCAGGUGGCAGCGAGUCUUUCUGAUGAGGAGGCUUGUGUCGGACGGCCACAAGUAGAUCUACAAGAUCUCUGCACCUGUCUGCCAGAUCUUAAAAGUUUAUUUGGAGGCCUUAACUGGGUCAGUCAUGUACAUCAUUCAGAUGGUCCCAAUGCUUGGGACAAGCUUCAGGAAGCUGGGGAGAGAUUAAUGGCUUGUGAAAAUUCAGACAUAGCACCUGAGCAGCAUUUCCCAAUUCCUGAACACGAGAAUCCUUUCAAUAAAGAAGCAAGCAUAGAUGUUCUCUACGGCAAAUAGUGCUGAUCAAUGAAGGUCUUUCUAGGGAAGCAAGCCACUGUAUUUCAGUACAGCAAGAACACAGAGGAGGGAGUGAAUAAUUGUGACAUGUUGCUUGGAGAUGCAUCAGGACAAGACUUUUCCAGGUUAGCAGACAAAACCCUGUUUGGUGGGCCUGCUUCUGUGGAUUCAUAGAAAUCAAAGAACUAUGGGCUGCAAAGAAUUAGCAGAUCAUUUGAAAGGAAGACAUCCCUUCCCUCAGACUGUGUUUUCAUGCUCAGACAAAACUAUUGGACGACUGAGCUGGGAUUAAUAUGGUACCAUGGGUACCCACAUCACCUGUGCUAUAUGACCUCUCUACAACGCUGUUCAUGCAAGAGUCAUCUCUGGAUUAAUGCUUACAUAUGCCUCUUCAUAAUGUACCUUUAUCAAUGAAGCCACGGCUUUUGACAUUAUGUGUAGUAAAUGAUGUUUUAUAGAUUAUAACUGAGAUGAUGUUGAGAAUGGAGAAUCUGUUCCUACAGUUCAACAUUUAAUCCAACAUGAGGAACGUGAUGGGGCUUCCACAGCAGCUUCACAUUGCUAAUUACACCUACAUAGCCACUGGAGAUUCUUUACUGCAAGGCUCCAACAAUGUCCCUAAGAGGCUUCAUCUUGGCUGAGAAUCUUCCAUUAAAAGCUGUUGGUUGGAUGAGUGGCAGCUUCCGAGCAAAGUUUCUGAGACAUAGAUCUGGCCAUCGUCUGCAAGAUGCACUGCAAUAGAGAGCUUGUGUGAAGCACAUGGGGAGAUGGUAAGCACCUACAGGUCCAGAGAAGAGUUUUCAGAAUGAGCCCUAUCCUGCCAUCACCUUCAUCUUGGACUUCUCAGCCUCUAGAAUGUCUUACCUAUGAACUUGGAGGUGGUGCCCUGUCUUGGUAAGGCACAUCUGUCUUGCACUCAGCUGCACUUGGUGUCCUCAAGCUCUCUGGGCAGUAAAGCUGCCGUCUUCCAUGACAAUGGGAAGGGGCAGGGAGCCAGAAUCCUGAGGAUUAAAACAUGCCGUUGAAUGAUAUUUUUAGUAUACUUUGGGAAUGGAAUUGCUUUCAUUUACCCACAGAAGCAUAUUAGAAGAAUGAAUAAUCUUUCCCUGAAAUCUCAACAGAUUAAAAAUUUAUAACCAAGCCCUGUAAAGGAGCAUCAGAUUCUACUCUCAGGAAGAAAAGAAAAACACUAUAGAAUUAAAGGGGAAAAUGUUCCAAAGAACAAUUUAUAAUGUCUAGUUUUACAUGAUGUCUGGCUGAAUUGAGGCACACAAACGAACAUACUUGAACUGGGCCACUUGUUGGAGUUUACCUCUGUGACCCACUCUGACAACAUUGUGGCUAUCUGUGCUUUACUAAAUCAGACCCCAUGAAGACCCUAUAAGGCAACACCACUCACGGUGGCAUCAUUCAGUGAAGGAAAAUAUGCCUGAGGGCUCUGAACACUACCUGGUUGCAGGCUUCUGGGUAGAGUUACAGAAUACCUGUUGACCAACUUUACUGGACUAUGCAAUGACAGGG